rnacentral:rRNA from 1 species
CCUACGGGUGGCUGCAGUGGGGAAUAUUGGACAAUGGGCGAAAGCCUGAUCCAGCCAUGCCGCGUGUGUGAAGAAGGCCUUCGGGUUGUAAAGCACUUUCAGUGGGGAAGAAAGCCUUGGGGCUAAUACCCUCGAGGAAGGACAUCACCCACAGAAGAAGCACCGGCUAACUCCGUGCCAGCAGCCGCGGUAAUACGGAGGGUGCGAGCGUUAAUCGGAAUUACUGGGCGUAAAGCGCGCGUAGGCGGUCUGAUAAGCCGGUUGUGAAAGCCUCGGGCUCAACCUGGGAACGGCAUCCGGAACUGUCAGGCUAGAGUGCAGGAGAGGAAGGUAGAAUUCCCGGUGUAGCGGUGAAAUGCGUAGAGAUCGGGAGGAAUACCAGUGGCGAAGGCGGCCUUCUGGACUGACACUGACGCUGAGGUGCGAAAGCGUGGGUAGCAAACAGGAUUAGAUACCCCUGUAGUC